rnacentral:rRNA from 1 species
GGUUAAGCGACUAAGCGUACACGGUGGAUGCCCUGGCAGUCAGAGGCGAUGAAGGGCGUGCUAAUCUGCGAUAAGCGCCGGUAAGGUGAUAUGAACCGUUAUAACCGGCGAUACCCGAAUGGGGAAACCCAGUGUGAUUCGUCACACUAUCAUUAACUGAAUCCAUAGGUUAAUGAGGCGAACCGGGGGAACUGAAACAUCUAAGUACCCCGAGGAAAAGAAAUCAACCGAGAUUCCCCCAGUAGCGGCGAGCGAACGGGGAGGAGCCCAGAGCCUGAAUCAGCAUGUGUGUUAGUGGAAGCGUCUGGAAAGGCGCGCGAUACAGGGUGACAGCCCCGUACACAAAAGCGCAUGUGCUGUGAGCUCGAUGAGUAGGGCGGGACACGUGGUAUCCUGUCUGAAUAUGGGGGGACCAUCCUCCAAGGCUAAAUACUCCUGACUGACCGAUAGUGAACCAGUACCGUGAGGGAAAGGCGAAAAGAACCCCGGCGAGGGGAGUGAAAAAGAACCUGAAACCGUGUACGUACAAGCAGUGGGAGCACAGGUUUACCUGUGUGACUGCGUACCUUUUGUAUAAUGGGUCAGCGACUUAUAUUCUGUAGCAAGGUUAACCGAAUAGGGGAGCCGGAGGGAAACCGAGUCUUAAUUGGGCGUUAAGUUGCAGGGUAUAGACCCGAAACCCGGUGAUCUAGCCAUGGGCAGGUUGAAGGUUGGGUAACACUAACUGGAGGACCGAACCGACUAAUGUUGAAAAAUUAGCGGAUGACCUGUGGCUGGGGGUGAAAGGCCAAUCAAACCGGGAGAUAGCUGGUUCUCCCCGAAAGCUAUUUAGGUAGCGCCUCGUGAAUUCAUCUCCGGGGGUAGAGCACUGUUUCGGCUAGGGGGCCAUCCCGGCUUACCAACCCGAUGCAAACUGCGAAUACCGGAGAAUGUUAUCACGGGAGACACACGGCGGGUGCUAACGUCCGUCGUGAAGAGGGAAACAACCCAGACCGCCAGCUAAGGUCCCAAAGUCAUGGUUAAGUGGGAAACGAUGUGGGAAGGCCCAGACAGCCAGGAUGUUGGCUUAGAAGCAGCCAUCAUUUAAAGAAAGCGUAAUAGCUCACUGGUCGAGUCGGCCUGCGCGGAAGAUGUAACGGGGCUAAACCAUGCACCGAAGCUGCGGCAGCGACGCUUAUGCGU